ACUAAUUAGCAUCCUCCGAACUGUCACUACGCAUGCGCCUCGACACCAUCUGGUGUUCGGUUUUUCUCCAGAGGCAUUGUGGGAGAUUGAUUGUUAUGGCCGUUGGCGUUGGUAGCUGAGCUUUGACCCAGAAAAUAUAAGAAUUAUUAGAUGCUAGAAAUUAUGAACCUAAGAAGUAUAUUUAGUAUUAGUAAAGUAUCAAUAGGGUGGAAUAGAAAAUUUGCCAUGUUUUUUUGCUGUGGUGAAAUUUUCACAUGUAUUAUGAAGCGAAAAUUAAGAGCUUCAUCUUUUUGUAAGAUUGCGAGAUGAAGUUGGCUGUAAAGGAAUGAUUACCAAUUCAUCGUAAAGUAUGGGUGAAUGAUGUGUACGGUGAACCUUCUCGAUUCAGAUCGUUUGAGGUAUGGAUUUUGGAAGAUUUGAAUAUUGAAGAGCAUUAAGUGUCUUUAAAAUGAAUUAAUCUUUGACUUAUUCACAGAUCUGCAUUCGGAUUGGUCGAAAAUCUAUGAAAAAUGAUGCUGUUUUAGAAGGUUGAAAAGUGAAAGUGGUACUAGGUACUUUUUUGAAAAUGGUAUCAGAUAGCUUGAAUGUGAGAUGCAUAGGAGUAAUAUGCAAUACUGCUGUUAUAAUAUUCAUUAAGAAGAAAUAGAAACCUAAAUAGAACAUUUUUUUGUGUGCAUGUUUUUAAAAAUUUCUGUGUGUUUGAAGAAGCUGAAAAAAGUCUUGUAAGUGUACAAGUAAAACGUUUCUAAUUCUCAAGAAAAAAAUUAACAGUCUAUGUGUAAGCUUUUACUUUUUAUGAUGAUUUUGAUAAAAAAAGAAGAAAAAACUAGUUCAUGGUUAUUAUUUUAUCUGUUAUAA
rnacentral:lncRNA from 1 species